rnacentral:rRNA from 1 species
CCUACGGGAGGCAGCAGUGAGGAAUAUUGGUCAAUGGGCGGAAGCCUGAACCAGCCAAGUAGCGUGCAGGAUGACGGCCCUACGGGUUGUAAACUGCUUUUAUACGGAAAUAACGCGCCUUACGUGUAGGGCUUUGCAUGUAUCGUAUGAAUAAGGACCGGCUAAUUCCGUGCCAGCAGCCGCGGUAAUACGGAGGGUCCGGGCGUUAUCCGGAUUUAGUGGGUUAAAAGGGAGCGUAGGCGGCAUGUCAAGCAUGCUGUGAAAUGUCCGGGCGCAACCCGGGCCUUGCAGCGCGAACGGGCGUGCUUGAGUCCGCGGAAGGCAGGCGGAAUUCGUGGUGUAGCGGUGAAAUGCUUAGAUAUGACGAAGAACCCCGAUUGCGAAGGCAGCUUGCUGCAGCGGAACUGACGCUGAUGCUCGAAAGCGCGGGUAUCGAACAGGAUUAGAUACCCUAGUAGUC